rnacentral:rRNA from 1 species
AACGAACGCUGGCGGCAGGCUUAACACAUGCAAGUCGAACGGGCGUAGCAAUACGUCAGUGGCAGACGGGUGAGUAACACGUGGGAAUAUCCCUUUCAGUUCGGAAUAACUCAGGGAAACUUGAGCUAAUACCGGAUACGCCCUUCGGGAGAAAGAUUUAUCGCUGAGAGAUUAGCCCGCGUCUGAUUAGCUAGUUGGUGAGGUAAUGGCUCACCAAGGCGACGAUCAGUAGCUGGUCUGAGAGGAUGAUCAGCCACACUGGGACUGAGACACGGCCCAGACUCCUACGGGAGGCAGCAGUGGGGAAUAUUGGACAAUGGGGGAAACCCUGAUCCAGCCAUGCCGCGUGAGUGAUGAGGGCCUUAGGGUUGUAAAGCUCUUUUGCCAGGGAAGAUAAUGACUGUACCUGGAGAAUAAGCCCCGGCUAACUUCGUGCCAGCCGCCGCAGUAA